CAGUGUGCACCUGCCAUGAAAUGCACACACGGCCAUUUAUUCUUUCCAUCAGCCGUUGGAAAUCACACUCAUGUCAUGAACGAGGAGACCAAGGAGCCAGCCAGGCCCCUGGGCCUGGAGCAUCCGAGAACGGAAAAUAUGAGAACGCUGGCACCCGGCCAAGAAACAUGGAUUAUUCAGACUGGCACAAGCUGGCUAGUGGGGCAGGGGAAGUGACUGGAAGGGGAAACUGAGACACGGGUGAGGUCCAAGCAGCCCUGGACAGCUUCAAAAAACUGCUUGCCACUUGAAAGGACAAGGAGACCAGCCUUGGAGACCCACGAGCUCCGGGUCCCGCCUCCGUGCCUCAGUUUCCUCCUCUGUGCACGGGAUGGGAAUUCGUUUUCUUCAAUGUGUGAGGGGACCCAUCAAGCUUUCAUGCGUGCAAAAUGCUUUGCAUGUAAAACUUCCUUUCCCUGGCUGCCCACA